rnacentral:rRNA from 1 species
GACGUAGGGCGCGAGCGUUGUCCGGAUUUAUUGGGCGUAAAGCGCACGUAGGCGGUUUGUUAUGUCGGAUGUGAAAGCCCUUGGCUCAACUGAGGAAGUGCAUCCGAAACUGGCAAGCUAGAGUACUAAAGAGGGUCGCGGAAUUCCCGGUGUAGAGGUGAAAUUCGUAGAUAUCGGGAGGAACACCAAUGGCGAAGGCAGCUCGCUGGGACGGUACUGACGCUGAGACGCGAAAGCGUGGGGAGCAAACAGG